CACAAGGCCCUUUUCAGGGCCAUCAAAUCAUAAAUACCUAUUCAA
rfam:Operophtera brumata OBRT01_Sc00036, whole genome shotgun sequence.